rnacentral:rRNA from 1 species
UACGUAGGGUGCAAGCGUUAUCCGGAAUUAUUGGGCGUAAAGAGCUCGUAGGCGGUGUGUCGCGUCGGCCGUGAAAACCUGUGGCUUAACUGCGGGCUUGCGGUCGAUACGGGCAUCACUGGAGUUCGGCAGGGGAGACUGGAAUUCCUGGUGUAGCGGUGAAAUGCGCAGAUAUCAGGAGGAACACCGGUGGCGAAGGCGGGUCUCUGGGCCGAUACUGACGCUGAGGAGCGAAAGCGUGGGGAGCGAACAGG